rnacentral:rRNA from 1 species
UACGGAGGGUGCAAGCGUUAUCCGGAUUCACUGGGUUUAAAGGGUGCGUAGGAGGGCGGAUAAGUCAGUGGUGAAAUCUCCGGGCUUAACUCGGAAACUGCCGUUGAUACUAUUUGUCUUGAAUAUCGUGGAGGUGAGCGGAAUAUGUCAUGUAGCGGUGAAAUGCUUAGAUAUGACAUAGAACACCAAUUGCGAAGGCAGCUCGCUACACGAAUAUUGACUCUGAGGCACGAAAGCGUGGGGAUCAAACAGG